AAUAACGUUCGUUCUAUUAGGAGAGUGAAAAGAAGAUAAGCAAAAACCGUUUAUGCAUAGGGAGAGGGAAACGAAGACGAGCAGAAGCACAUGCGUCAAUUUCCAGUGAGAGCGAGCAAUUAGGAAACGAAAGAGGAGUAGGAGGAGAGCAUGGAAUGAGAGAGAUCAUUUAGCUGACCUACGCAUCUGUACCGCUCUGCCAGCUUCCAAUGUCAGUGCGAAAAAUGUGAAAAUAAACGAAAGUAUUGUUGCGCAGUAAAGUGAAGUGGAGUGGAGUGUUGUGUAGUGAAGUGUAGUGAAGUUUAGUGAAGUUGCAGUGCAGUGAUUAAACAUAAACAAAAUAUCCCAAAAACCAGGUGUAAUAGUGUUUAAUAGUGAAAAGUGAAUAAGCUGCGUGAUCAAGUGCGUUGGCGGACCAUGUGCGGAAUAUAGGGAAAUAUGUUUGCCAACAUAGCAAUACAACUAAAAUCCAUAGGCGCAUGGUUCCGUUAUGUCUGGAGAUGUCUCAAAUUUGUUCGUUCGUUUGUGAGCGCGCGUGUGUGUGUGUGAGUGAUAGAAUGCAAAAGCAGCAGCAAGUCGCUCUCCAUUCCCAGAGAGCAUUACACCAGUGAGCAGCAGAGGAGAAGAGGAGCCAGCAAUGCUCUCGUUUGCAGACUCACGACAAUGUGAGGUGAGGCUUUCCAAUUGCCCGAAGAUGUUACGCUCUCCCGUCCAACCACUUGAUCAACAUAAGCGAUUGGCGUGGGAGUAUGUGCCCUGUGAUGCCUCCACCUUAUAAUAAUCUAUCCCGAAAUUUGUGCUCUUAUUGGAAUUGGCACAUUUCAAAUCCAUUUGCGUUGUGCUGGAAGAAAAAGGAACGGUACAUGCUCGUGGGCAUAAGGUUUUCUGUAAAAGUACACAAAUAUAAA